AGCGAACGCUGGCGGCAGGCCUAACACAUGCAAGUCGAACGAACCUUUCGGGGUUAGUGGCGGACGGGUGAGUAACACGUGGGAACGUGCCUUUAGGUUCGGAAUAACUCAGGGAAACUUGUGCUAAUACCGAAUGUGCCCUUCGGGGGAAAGAUUUAUCGCCUUUAGAGCGGCCCGCGUCUGAUUAGCUAGUUGGUUGAGGUAAUGGCUCACCAAGGCGACGUUCAGUAGCUGGUCUGAGAGGAUGAUCAGCCACAUUGGGACUGAGACACGGCCCAAACUCCUACGGGAGGCAGCAGUGGGGAACCUUGCGCAAUGGGCGAAAGCCUGACGCAGCCAUGCCGCGUGAAUGAUGAAGGUCUUAGGAUUGUAAAAUUCUUUCACCGGGGACGAUAAUGACGGUACCCGGAGAAGAAGCCCCGGCUAACUUCGUG
rnacentral:rRNA from 1 species